rnacentral:lncRNA from 1 species
UCAUUAAAAAAAAUAAAACACAACCGGUAUAGCACCGUUAAUACUGACACUAAUUAUUUAAAUGACGAUAAGAAUUUUUGAUGUUACUGAGUCAGUGGAUUCCUGAUACUGUAGUCACAUAAAUCAGUGACAUGUAAAUAGUAUCAUUAAAUGCUAACGCGAUUGAGUCACUAUCCUUGUGACUCUCUAGUGACACAAAAUACUGACAUAAAAAUAGUAUCAACUGAUACUAACAUCAUAGUAUCACUAUGGUGGUGAUACUAUAGUGACACAAAAUACUGACGCAAAAAUCACUGACACCAAAGAUUAGUGUCAGUGUGUUCUGGCUUGAGCAUUACUGACACAAUUAACAAGUGUCAGCAAAAGUAAUUACUGACACUAAAUUGGUGUCAGUAAAGCCCAUUUUUCUAGUAGUGCGUCCUGCGUUCAAAAGUGAUGUCCGUUUUGCCGUCUGAUUUCUCGUUCAUUGUGAAAUGACCAUGAUGCCCCUAAAAUACAUAAAAUACUUAAUUAUAAUAUAACACACGUAAUUAAAUCACAAGAAGCUUAAAUACAUAAAAGUAAGGAUCGUUAAUACUGACACUAAUUAUUUAAAUGACGAUAAGAAUUUUUGAUGUUACUGAGUCAGUGGAUUCCUGAUACUGUAGUCACAUAAAUCAGUGACAUGUAAAUAGUAUCAUUAAAUGCUAACGCGAUUGAGUCACUAUCCUUGUGACUCUCUAGUGACACAAAAUACUGACAUAAAAAUAGUAUCAACUGAUACUAACAUCAUAGUAUCACUAUGGUGGUGAUACUAUAGUGACACAAAAUACUGACGCAAAAAUCACUGACACCAAAGAUUAGUGUCAGUGUGUUCUGGCUUGAGCAUUACUGACACAAUUAACAAGUGUCAGCAAAAGUAAUUACUGACACUAAAUUGGUGUCAGUAAAGCCCAUUUUUCUAGUAGUG